GAUGAACGCUGGCGGCGUGCUUAAUACAUGCAAGUCGAGCGAAGCGCUUUAACGGAAUUCUUCGGAAGCAACUGUGUCUGAGCGGGCGACGGGUGAAGGUAACGCGUGGUAACCUGCCUCAUACAGGGGAAUAACAGUUAGAAAUGGCUGCUAAUGCCGCAUAAGCGCACAGGGCCGCAUGGUCUGGUGUGAAAAACUGAGGUGGUAUGAGAUGGGCCCGCGUCUGAUUAGGUAGUUGGCGGGGUAACGGCCCACCAAGCCGACGAUCAGUAGCCGACCUGAGAGGGUGACCGGCCACAUUGGGACUGAGACACGGCCCAG
rnacentral:rRNA from 1 species